UCUUCGUCCUUCACCAUAUUUUGUAUUCAUUCCAAAUCCAAUAUUUGUCUUUCUGAUGAAAACUUGAAGCUCACUGGCCUCCUCCUCCCUGGGCUCCCACAGCCUUUUGCCCUCUGCCACAGCUUAAGAAUUCAGCCAUGCAAUCUAUCUGUGGAUUUCUCUGUCUCCCCACCAGGCCCUGAGCAGAUUCUAUAGGGUAGAGCUUCCCUUUGCUGCUAUGAAGGUCUCAGCCAACACUGACUGUAAAUGUCAUACGGGUCUUCUUCUUAACCAUCUUUAAUCUGUGUGGUCUUAAGCUUCCUAUCUAUAAUCUGUCUGUCUAUCUAAUCUAUCAUCUGUCUGUCUGUCUGUCUGUCUGUCUGUCUGUCUGUCUGCCUGCCUGCCUGCCUGCCUGCCUGCCUGCCUGCCUGCCAGUCUAUCUAUCUAUUUCUCAUUUGUUAUUUUUGGAGAUUGGGCCUUGCAUUAUAAUCCUGGGUGAACUAGAUUUAAAUAUAUAGACUCAACAAGCCCUCAAAAUCACAGAGAUCUGCCUGCUGCUGUCUUGGGAGUGCUUGGAUUAAAGCAGAGGUUGACAUCUGAGAGCAUGUCUCUGUGAAUGCUUAUGCAGACAGCCACAUAAACACGUGUCUAAAUCAAGAUACUGAACAUCCAUCCCCAGAAGGUUCUCUGCCUCUCGCAAGUGCUUAUCCAAGGUAACUACUACCAAGUAUUUUCAUCUAGUUUGUUCCUUUUGCGCUUCAUGUAAACAGGACAACACACAUGGCUAUUUGUUGCCUUGUGUUUUAGUAUGCUUCUUCCUUCUCUCAGCAUAAUUACUGUGAGGUUCACACUUCUGUGAGUCUCGGGAAUUUGCUUUCUGUAACAGCUGUAAUCUUCCUUUGUAUCAACAUACCAAGAUUUGUCUACCAUUUCCUGUUGAUGGGUGGGCAUGGGGGUUGUUUGGUCUAAAACUGCACUCGACUUUCUUGUACAAGUCUUUUUGUGUCUACU
rnacentral:lncRNA from 1 species